GAUGUACAGGUUGGUACUGGGAGGAAGAAUACAUUGAACACAUUAAGAAAUCUUUUGCACUGGUGGUUGAGGCUGAAGGUGGUGAGGCAGUGAGCCGACGAAAGGAGUUCAAUGAUGUUGAUCAAGCGAAUGAUCUAUCUAUUAUAGUUGGGAUCGGACGCGAACUAAUUAUGUUGCUUAAGUGCAUUUUAGUUUUGGUUUUUUUAGUGCUAGUUGCGAUUGUAUUUGUUGUAGCCAAGCUUUCCUAAAUUAAUCAACUAUGUAUCUUAGACAUGUUGUGCAAUAAGAUGAUGUAACACCCUAAAUUCUGCUUCUUUGAAAAUAAAGCUAAAAUAAUUUAUUUUGUAUUUCUGGGUGCUCGUAGCAAUGCGUAGAUUAGUUUUUAAACCUUUCUAUUGAUUGGUGUAUUGUUCUAAAUUUAUUAUGUUUGCUAUGCAUGUUUGUUCGGAUGCUUGUGUGGUGCCUUAUGAUCUUGUCCAG
rnacentral:lncRNA from 1 species